GUAGUCGUGGCCGAGUGGUUAAGGCGACAGACUAGAAAUCUGUUGGGAUAUUCCCGCGCAGGUUCAAAUCCUCGCCGACUACG
rnacentral:tRNA from 1 species